AGGAGACAUCCUUUGUAAGGUCCG
rnacentral:siRNA from 1 species